AUUGAACGCUGGCGGCAUGCCUUACACAUGCAAGUCGAACGGCAGCACGGGAGCAAUCCUGGUGGCGAGUGGCGAACGGGUGAGUAAUAUAUCGGAACGUGCCCAGUCGUGGGGAUAACGUAGCGAAAGCUACGCUAAUACCGCAUACGAUCUAUGGAUGAAAGCGGGGGAUCGCAAGACCUCGCGCGAUUGGANCGGCCGAUAUCAGAUUAGGUAGUUGGUGAGGUAAAGGCUCGCCAAGCCGACGAUCUGUAGCUGGUCUGAGAGGACGACCAGCCACACUGGGACUGAGACACGGCCCAGACUCCUACGGGAGGCAGCAGUGGGGAA
rnacentral:rRNA from 1 species